rnacentral:rRNA from 1 species
AACGAACGCUGGCGGCGUGGCUAAGGCAUGCAAGUCGAACGGACGUACCUGGAAGGAAACGGAAGGGUAUGUUAGUGGCGAACGGGUGAGGAAUACAUGGACAACGUACCCCGGACACGGGCAUAGCGGCGUCUCCCGAGCGAUCGGGAGACUUUAGCGAAAGUGCCGGUAAUUCCCGAUGACCCCGUAGGAUCGCAUGAUCCGGCGGGCAAAGCUCAGACGGUCUGGGAGCGGUUCAUGGCCUAUCAGCUUGUUGGUGAGGUAACGGCUCACCAAGGCGGCGACGGGUAUUGGGCGUGAGAGCGUGGCCCGACACAUCGGGACUGAGACACGGCCCGGACACCUACGGGUGGCUGCAGCAACGAAUAUUCCGCAAUGGACGCAAGUCUGACGGAGCGACGCCGCGUGCAGGAAGAAGUCCCUCGGGAUGUAAACUGCUGUCAGGGGUUAGGAAUAAAAUGACCAGCCCCACAGGAAGCACUGGCUAACUCCGUGCCAGCAGCCGCGGUAAUACGGAGAGUGCAAGCGUUGUUCGGAAUUACUGGGCUUAAAGCGCGUGUAGGCGGGAUGCAAGGUGUCGUGUGAAAGCCCCGGGCUCAACCCGGGAACUGCAUGGCAAACCGGCGUUCUUGAGGUGGGCAGAGGUGACUGGAACGACUGGUGGAGCGGUGAAAUGCGUAGAUAUCAGUUGGAACGCCGGCGGCGAAAGCGAGUCACUGGGCCCGUCCUGACGCUGAGACGCGAAAGCGUGGGGAGCGAACAGAAUUAGAUACCCUGGUAGUCCACGCCGUAAACGAUGCGCACUAGGUAUGAGAGGUUCUGACGCCGAUCGUGCCGAAGCAAAAGUGUUAAGUGCGCCGCCUGGGGAGUACGGCCGCAAGGCUAAAACUCAAAGGAAUUGACGGGGGCUCACACAAGCGGUGGAGCAUGUGGAUUAAUUCGAAGCAACGCGAAGAACCUUACCUGGGUUUGACAUGCACGGAUGCUCUCUUGGAAACAGGAGUAGGCUGCCUUCGGGUGAAACGUGCACAGGUGCUGCAUGGCUGUCGUCAGCUCGUGCUGUGAAGUGUCGGGUUAAGUCCCUUAACGAGCGAAACCCCUAUCGCUAGUUGCCAGCGGGUCAAGCCGGGGACUCUAGCGAGACCGCCGGCGUCAAGCCGGAGGAAGGUGGGGACGACGUCAAGUCAUCAUGGCCUUUAUGUCCAGGGUGUCUCACGUGCUACAAUGGCCGGUACAGAGCGACGCGAUACCGUGAGGUGGAGCAAAUCGCAGAAAACCGGCCUCAGUUCGGAUUGGAGUCUGCAACUCGACUCCAUGAAGCCGGAAUCGCUAGUAAUCGCGUAUCAGCCAUGACGCGGUGAAUGUGUUCCCGAGCCUUGUACACACCGCCCGUCAAGUCAUGGAAGCCGGGAGUACCCGAAGUCCGCUUAGCUAACCGUAAGGAGGCGGCGGCCGACGGUAAGACUGGUGACUGGGACU